AAGUCGUAACAAGGUUUCCGUAGGUGAACCUGCGGAAGGAUCAUUACGAAUCUAGGCCGGUCUGACCGGUUCUAUUUUACCCUGUUUUUGCGCACCUAUUGUUUCCUCGGUGGGCUUGCCUGCCAGUAGGACAUUUUUCCAACCACUUUUUAUUAGCAGUCUGUAUCAAAUAACUAUAAAAUGGUAACAA
rnacentral:misc_RNA from 1 species